rnacentral:rRNA from 1 species
CCUGGUGGCGAGUGGCGGACGGGUGAGUAACGCGUAGGAAUCUACCCAGUAGCGGGGGAUAGCCCGGGGAAACUCGGAUUAAUACCGCAUACGCCCUAAGGGGGAAAGGGGGGGAUCGCAAGACCUCUCACUAUUGGAGCGGCCGAUGGCUGAUUAGCUAGUUGGUGGGGUAAAGGCCUACCAAGGCAACGAUCAGUAGCUGGUCUGAGAGGACGACCAGCCACACUGGGACUGAGACACGACCCAGACUCC